rnacentral:tRNA from 1 species
GGUCCUAUCGUCUAGGGGCCCAGGACGACACCCUUUCAAGGUGUAGACACGGGUUCGAAUCCCGUUGGGAUCA